AGGCAAUGAGGAUAAAAAUAUCAGGAAAUAUACAUGUCUGUAUAAUAUACGCUAUACUGAGCCCUUA